UACGGAGGGUGCAAGCGUUAUCCGGAUUCACUGGGUUUAAAGGGUGCGUAGGUGGGCAGGUAAGUCAGUGGUGAAAUCUCCGGGCUUAACCCGGAAACUGCCAUUGAUACUAUCUGUCUUGAAUACCGUGGAGGUGAGCGGAAUAUGUCAUGUAGCGGUGAAAUGCUUAGAUAUGACAUAGAACACCAAUUGCGAAGGCAGCUCACUACACGAAUAUUGACACUGAGGCACGAAAAGCGUGGGGAUCAAACAGGA
rnacentral:rRNA from 1 species